rnacentral:rRNA from 1 species
CAGUCGCCGCGGGAAUACGGAGGGGGCUAGCGUUGUUCGGAAUUACUGGGCGUAAAGCGCACGUAGGCGGCUUGGUAAGUUAGAGGUGAAAGCCUGGAGCUCAACUCCAGAAUUGCCUUUAAGACUGCCGAGCUAGCAGGUGAGAGAGGUAAGCGGAAUUCCGAGUGUAGAGGUGAAAUUCGUAGAUAUUCGGAAGAACACCAGUGGCGAAGGCGGCUUACUGGCUCAUACUGGACGCUGAGGUGCGAAAGCGUGGGGAGCAAACAGGAUUAGAUACCCCCGUAGUCCCUGUCUCUUAUAC